AUGAGAAAUCUCAGUUUUGUCUUCCUAGUCCUGGUAAAAUUAUGGCUCAAGUAUUGCUCAUUUUUGUCUCCAACGAAAAGCUCAAAUGAAGCUCUGUCAUGUCUCAAGUAAGGCUCCUGUUGCUAGCUGUCAAGUCUCAUCUAUUGCUCCUAAGGAAUUUUAGGAGAAACGAAUGAGAAAUCUCAGUUUUGUCUCCCCAGUGCUGGUAAAAUUAUGGCUCCAGUACUGCUCAUUUGUGUCUCCAACGAAAGGCUCAAAUAAAGCUCUGCCAUGUCUGGAGUAAGGCUCCUGUCGCUAGCUGUCAAGUCUCACCUAUUGCUCCUAAGGAAAUUUAGGAGAAACAAACGAGAAAUGUUUGAGACCAAAAAAGACUACAACGAGACUGAAAUGAGAACUCUCAUUGAGCUCCUUUUUGGCUCCAUAGCUGUAAAGGAGCAAGCCUUGAGCCUCUGGGCAGGUUCACCUACUGGGGCGGGGCGCAGCGGAUUCAUAAAAUAGUGCACAGCUAAUGCAAUUAGAAUAGUAGAAUGAAGUCAAUCACGAAUUCUUACCACAUAAAGCACGUUUCAGUCAUAACAAUAACUGUGAAUAGAAGCCCAUAGUUUCACAUAUGUUAUUUUUCGGGGUUUGGUUAAAAAGUGAAAUAUAUUACAGAACAAGGUGAAUUGGUUUAGCUUAACUCUUGGUUGACGGUGUUCGGGGAUGGUAAUGUGUUGAUUCCUGAGUGUCAAAUAAACAAAUGGAUAAGAAGAGGUCAAAGCCAUCAGGUGCCCAGUUGAGGAAAAAGAGAAAAGAAGAAGAGGAGAAACAAGCAAAAGAUAAAGAUUUGGAGCAAUAUCACCUACUUUUCCUGAGUAAUGAAAUUAAAUGACGUUAAUUAGUAUAGACUAACUUGUAUGUUUGUUAGCCUCUUGCUAUACUGCUGGCUAUAAUAAUGGAUGACAACAGCAACCAUUUUCACCACUUAACCAUUAUUUGUUAAUUUCACCCUAAUAAUAUGUAUGUAACACAACAAUGACUAGCUCCCAUACUGUUUGGUAAAUGUUGCGUUGUUUAUUUAAUUGUGCUAUUCAUGCAUUGAUCAUUUAUGUUGUAUUUUAAAUAUUUUGGAACACCCUCUGACACUAGCCAGGAUGAGGAGCCAUCUACCUCCUCAGUAACACAUAUGUCUCCACAAAUGCUGUCCCAUCCUGAGGAUGGAGACCCAUUUACCUCUGCUUCUCCCCAACACGACUCUUCAGAAAUGCCUGGAGCAGAAUUGCAUACUGAGGAUGAGCCUCUGUUCACUGACCCUACUAACUGGCCCUCAGUUCUGACUGUGAGAAUUCGGACACAACUGGUUUCCAGGGGACCAAGUAAGGUACCAUCUGACUUUGUAUUCCCUAGAAACGACAGUGACGGAAGAAGUUGCCACCAUCAAUACUUCAAGAAGUCAUUGGUUAGUGGGGAAAAUAUAUCAAGAUGUUGGUUGGUAUUUAUUUUGUGUUUUGUGUAAAAAGUGUGGUAAAAUUAUUAUGCUCUCUUAAGUGUGUUAUUGUAUCUGUGUGAUGAAGGAUUUGUGCAAUUUAGAUUCUCUAUUUUAUUUAUAUUUCAUUCUAUUAUACUAGUUCUUUUGGUUGUUGGCUUAUUUGUAUUUAUGAUUGUAUAUACUGUAUUUUGUUAUUAUUUCCAACUUUAACUUUAAUAAAUAAGUUAUUUUGA